CAUACUGCAUGUGAUUUGUGAAAGCCCAGGCUACUAGCAAUCAAGAGUCUCCCCUGUACACAUGUACUCACGGUAGUCGUACUGCCAGCACAGGAACUCCCUCUCUGUGCCUCAUCCAUCGCCCUCCUCUGCUCUUCAUGUUGCCCAGGUGCAGCAGCUCACGCUGCCCAAAUCCACCGCGAUGGGACUGAAGGUUGGGUGGUGGUGGCGUGCUCCACUGUGGUGCGGGCUCGGCAACCAUGGCACUAGGCAAGCCAAGAAGGCCGGAGCAUGCUGAUGUGUGGGGAUUUGGACUCUAGCAAUAACCCUCCUCAACCUGACAGUCUUGGUUGCUUCAAAAGUGCUUCCAGAGUUGCUUGCAAGCACUUGGGGUUGUCUGGUGAUUUCCCUCUCCCGGUCAACCUCCUUCCUCCGGGUCGGUCACCCCAUGUCGACCUCCAUGGUGAUUAAGUCACCCUCUUGUGCUGGUGGAAGAGUUGGUGUUUUUUUUAGCAAGGAGUGGACGAGGUGUGUUCCUGGAGACCUCAACUUUGAGUGAAGAGCCGGGAACUGAGUGUCUGCUACUUUGAUGGAGGCAAGACCCCUUUCAUCUAUACUGAGCUCUUCUUCUACUACUACCCUCUGCCUGCACUCCCAAAUAUUUUAAUCCUAGUCAUGGCCUAGUCAAAGAAAUUCACUGUAUAUUGUCCAGCUGUUGCUACUAGAGUGGAUUAUCUCAUUCUAGAAGGGCAUGGCAACUCUUGUAGCUACAGUGAGAUGUACUGCUAUGUAGUGGCUCCAGUGUUUUGUACUACUACUCUCUAUCCUUCGUUGGAGAUAUUUACCAUAGCUCAAACUAGUGCAAGAGUGGACACAAAGAUAUGUACUAGUAUGUGCCGCAAGGUGUACAGAAUGAUAUAUGUUCCUGUGUAAAAUUUUUAUGAAGUUACAAUGGUCUAAACAUAUCCAAAUAUUAAUAUAAAAUUAUGUAUUUUGCCAAGUCAUAUUAACUUACCAUCUUGAUUUAAUUAAGAUAAACUCACAAGGGCUGGCUGCAACCGGGUGGAAACAAAUGGUGGGCAUUUUUUAAUUAGGCAUCUUUGCUUGCUUCGUGAAGAGAUAAUGUGCACUCCACUAGAUCCCAAAUGGAAAAUUCUGGUCAUCUCUGCUAACAAACAAUAUACCCAUUGUAAGUACUUAAGAAACUACUGAUUGGAAGUCUAAAACACUGAAAAUUUAAUGGAUAAUUAGCGGGCCUCCUACACAUGUACUGCAGAAUUUGUUGGUGGAUAUCGACUGCUUUGAAAGGUGUUCUUGUUCCAUUGCACGCAACUAGCUUCUACGACAGAGGCGUUGGACUAAGGGACACAACCACGCUGAGAAUGAGGGCGUCUGAGGUGGGAGGAAGCCGCAGAGGCAACGUCGAUCGAUCCCUGCGCAGACAAGGACAAGUCUUAAGAAGGACCGACGAAAAUCAGGAAAUGAAGUCGUAAGAAGAAAAAAGACUCACCAAGUCGAUCGAUCCCACAUCAGGCCUCAUAGGGAAGCCAUUAACAUGUUCCGGCUGGAAGUCACCGGCGACAGCCGCCCUGACCCGAGCCACGACCUCAUCGUCCACCGGAGCCUCGUUGGACAUCCGGCACGCCUCGAGAUCCCGGGAUGAAACGCCGGGAACCAUCUCGUCCAUCCUCAACAGUCGAGACAUCAACGGGAGAACCCUCCGAUGAUGGACGGCCGAGAGGACGAGAGCGGCGGUAAGGCCUUCCUCGCGUAAUUUCUUCAAGGCGUCGAGGAGGGGGUCGAGCCGCGCCUGGUGAACUUGGACGACGCCAUACUUCCAGUGCUCGGGACGCUCCGAGAUCAGACGCCCGGUGUAGGCCGGGAGGAGGUCGUCGUCGUUCCGCAAGUAAAACCACUGGGAGUCCCAUCCGAUGUGGUUCGACGUCAACCCCACCGGGAUGUACUCACGCGGCCUCUCCGACUUGCCGGUCUUGAGCACCAGGUUGAGGCACCCAGCUCGAACCGGCUUCCUUACUCCUGCGCUUCCACCGGGGGCGUUGAAGAGCUCGCUCCGGUACAGAUGGAGCCACAAAUCCUAGUGGGGCAUCAUCCCCAAGUAGCCCUCACACACCGCGGCAAAGACCGCCGCGGCGGUGACGGCGUUUGGGGAGAAAUGCUGGAGCUCCACCCCGUAGUGGUGGCAGAGCGUCCGCAUGAAGCGACUCGGAGGAGCGCCCAGGCCGUGGCGGUGGAAUUUGGCGAAGGAGACCACAUAGCCCGCGGGCAGCCUUGGCUCCCGAUGGUCUGCCGCCGGCGUGAUCCACUCCGGCCGCAACGACGACGUGCGGGGGCGUAGGAGUCCCUCCCUCUCAACGACGACGGGCUCCAGUCAUCGGCGGCGAUGAGCCUCACAGGCAUCUUCAGGUGGGAGGGAGGCGACUUCACUAGUGCUCGAGGAUGCACGCGCGUGAGAUGGCAA